rnacentral:rRNA from 1 species
GACGAACGCUGGCGGCGUGCUUAACACAUGCAAGUCGUACGGUAAGGCCCUUUCGGGGGUCCACGAGUGGCGAACGGGUGAGUAACACGUGAGUAACCUGCCCACAACUUUGGGAUAACGCUAGGAAACUGGUGCUAAUACUGGAUAUGUGCUCCUGCUGCAUGGUGGGGGUUGGAAAGCUCCGGCGGUUGUGGAUGGACUCGCGGCCUAUCAGCUUGUUGGUGGGGUAGUGGCCUACCAAGGCGGCGACGGGUAGCCGGCCUGAGAGGGUGACCGGCCACCUUGGGACUGAGAUACGGCCCAGCCUCCUACGGGAGGCAGCAGUGGGGAAUGUUGCACAAUGGGCGCAAGCCUGAUGCAGCAACGCCGCGUGCGGGAUGACGGCCUUCGGGUUGUAAACCGCUUUCAGCAGGGACGAAGCUUUUUGUGACGGUACCUGCAGAAGAAGCACCGGCUAACUACGUG